AGAAUUCUGAUGAAUGACCCCGAUCUAGUCCACUCGCAGGUACAAGCCAUUCAACGGGAGCUUGAGAAGGUUAAAAUUCAACUUGCCGCUCAGGUUGACAUUAACACCGCUUACCAAGCUGAAAUUGAUUCUCUUAAACGCUCCACUUUUACAAUCAACCUUCAAGCCAAGGGUCUACAUAUACCAUUUGGGGUAAGAAAAACUGUCCCCCAAAGAACGGUACAAAAUCAGUCUACAGUGGAAUAG
rnacentral:sRNA from 1 species